rnacentral:rRNA from 1 species
UACGUAGGGGGCAAGCGUUGUCCGGAAUCAUUGGGCGUAAAGCGCGUGUAGGCGGCUCGAUAAGUCUGCUGUGAAAGUCCAGGGCUCAACCCUGGGAUGCCGGUGGAUACUGUCGGGCUCGAGUCCGGAAGAGGAGUGUGGAAUUCCUGGUGUAGCGGUGAAAUGCGCAGAUAUCGGGAGGAUACACCUGUGGCGAAGGCGGCUUUCUGGGCCUUACCUGACGCUGAGACGCGAAAGCGUGGGGAGCGAACCGG